GACGAACGCUGGCGGCGUGCUUAACACAUGCAAGUCGAACGAAGUGGCGCACGGGUGAGUAACGCGUAAUCAACCUGCCCUUCAGAGGGGGACAACAGUUGGCAACGACUGCUAAUACCGCAUACUGAAGGAGGGGAUUGCGUGUGAUUAGCUAGUUGGAGGGGUAACGGCCCACCAAGGCGAUGAUCAGUAGCCGGGCCGAGAGGAUGAACGGCCACAUUGGGACUGGGACAAGGCCCAGACUCCUACGGGAGGGAGGAGGGGGGAAUCUUCCGAAAAGGACGAAAAUCUGACGGAACAAAGCCGCGUGGUUGAUGACGGGCUUCGGGUUGUAAAGCUCUGUUAAUCGGGACGCGGUACCGGAAUAGAAAGCCACGGCUAACUACGUGCCAGCAGCCGCGGUAAUUC
rnacentral:rRNA from 1 species